GGUAGAAAAAACGUACAAAUUGGGAAACUUAUUCCUUGUCAUUGCGAACGUCUUAGUGCCUUCAUGAAUGCAUGACUCGUGUAUUGGAAAAAAAUUCUUUGUAUUUAAGUAGAACGUUUUUGAUUGUAGGAAUACACAUUUCGUAAUAUUGCGCAAUCGCCAACCAACAAUGGGGAACAUUGAGUUUAUGUAUGAUGACGUCAUCUAGACGCAGGUGUUCUUUUGAUUGUUGCCUUCAGUAGCAAGAGCAGACCCAGUCAGUUCUCGUUGGACUUUGGUCGUUGACGGUCGUGCAGUGAAAUCUGUCAUGUGACUCGGACCUCGUUUUUCCUUGAUUUAAUAAUGGCCGAUUUUAAAUAUGUGUUUAAUUCGGAAGUGUGAAUAAUUCUCGUACUCCACCAAAGGCAAAAAAAGGUUAGAAGGCUGUGUCGUAUUUAUGAAGAGUGGCUACGAAAUUAGGAAUUCUUGGACGGGCAGUCAAGUUCGGUUGGUGACAGGUGUUUUUUUAGAAAAGGAACAAAAAUUGUUUUUGAACGAGUGUUUCUUGUUACGCAAAAGAUUUCGUAGAAUUUAAGAAUCGCCUCUGAACGUUUAAAUGGUAAAAGCCGAAGUUCUAAUGCAUUUGGACUUCAGUAAUUUGUAAAUUUCGUGAAAUAUGAAAGUGAAAAAAAACUUUCGAAAUUUUCUAAGAUGGAAAGAAAGUGCAAAUUGGGAAUGUGAGUUUGGCGUCACGUAAUGGCGGUUAGCCGCCUCUUCAAGGGAUAAAUCGUUCUGGUUUGGAAGUGAGAAAAACUGCCGAAUAUUUAAAAUGCGUUACGAAAAUUCUGAAGGAGGGGAGGGUGAAUUCCGUUUAGGUUUGAGUAAAAAUUGAGAGCCUUGCGUGUGUGAAGUGUAAACAGAAUUUUAGUCGUAAAGCCUGGGAGACCAAAUUGUAGAUUUAAGGACGUGUGUGUGUUUGUGUGUGUAUCCUAAGGAAGUGUCGCGUGAGUUUGUGGACGGGGUUCACAUGGCUCAGUACAGGGAGUCAUAGUGGAUGCAGCUAGCUCAGGAUAGAGGUCGGUGGCCGGAUUAUUUGAACGCGGUGAUGAACAUUCGUGUUUCAAGAAUAAAGUGAAACUAUUACGUGAGAAGCGAGUGUGGUAAUGCGGUGCUAGGUGGAGCCACUGUUGUACGAGCUCCACGUACAGCGUCACCAUCUGCCGGUCGCUGCAGCAACGAGGAGCACACCGUAAGUGAGAACUGGACUGGGACUGGAAAACAAAACGGCAUCUUAAAAUUGGUGAUCCUUUAACGAGGUUUCUGGCCAUCUUCAGUCUAUCGAUGAACGGAUGAAAAAAUGAAUGAUUGAGACAAGAAGUAAAUAUUUUCCGUUUAGGAAAAGGAAAGAAGGAAAUUUGAACAGAAAUGCUGUGAGCACAUUUAACGACUUCCAAGUGAUCGAAUUUCUGAGAAAUUUUUUGAUUGUUAUCUGAAAGGAGAAAUUGCGAGAGGGCGAUGGUUUAAGAUAUGGAGGAGCAAUUGAAUUUCUCCUGCAGCCUGAAGGAUCUAGGUGAUGAAAAACAUUCGAGGUGAUGUUAGAAUACCGGUUGACAAUUACCAGAAAUUUCUUGCAUGUGCUAAAUUGCGUGUUCCCUAAGCAUUUGUGGGAGGAAAUCGUCAGAAUUUUAGGGAGGAACUUCUCUUAUAUUUCCAUGCUUGGGAGUUGAAUAAGAUCUCUCUACAGAAUUUGGAGAAGGCACGUAUGUCCGUUAUUGAGGUUCUUUGAAAGACGAGGAAGUAAACCGCAAGCGGUAGGCGAUGUUCCAAUGUUUCUGACCAGUCAUAAAGCUCAACAGAAAGAGACGGAGGCUGAAUUCAAUUGUGCGUCUCAAUGCCUUGGAUGCUUAUAUGAUGGAAAAAAUUUCGUAUGUGUUUCAUCUGGGCAGUCGUCAUUGUGAGUUCCUCUUACAAGGGGAAUGAGAGUUAAUGAAUAAGCAUGCAACAUAUUUUUCUUUUGAAAUGGCGGAGUAGCCAUGGAAACUAAACUACAACAAAACCAGCUUACGUAAUGCUGAUGCCUCCGAUAAACGGGUUUUGUCAUUAAAUUUGGCAUCGAAUGUUGUAGCGCGCUUCGCGUCUUUGCUUCCAGCGGUGAGAGGUUUUCCGUCUCGGAAGUGAGAGAUAGCCUAAUGCUAAGAAAGGCAGCUAAAAGAAGGUGAUCCUUUAACGAAUUUUCCGACCGUCUUCAGCCUAUCGUUGAACGGAUGAAAAGAAUAUGAGUAAUUGAGGCAAGAAAUAAAUAUUUUCCGUUCAGGCGAGGGAACGAAGAAUAUGUUUACAGAUAUGCUGUGAGCAUAUUUAGCGACUACCAAGUGAUCGAAAUUCUGAGAAAUUUUUCGCUAAUUACCUGAAAGGAUAAAUUUUGAGACGGAGAUGUUUUAAUUGGUGGAGAAUCACUUGUUCUACUCCUUUAACCCGAAGGGGCUAAGUGAUGAGAAACAUUCGAGGUGAUGGUAGAAUACCGGUAUGGAAUGCGACGGCUUUAUUUAAGGUAUGUACGUUUCUGAAUUAAAACAGUUGAAAUUUGGAUGUGGGCCAGUAGGUAUUGAGGUUUCUAAUCUGGGAUAUUAUCGGAUGCGAAUUUUUAUAUUUUGGGUAAAUAAUGAAUGAAUAAUAUUUGAUAACCCAUGAAAUCGUGAAAUAUAUUGUUGUUGCAGUAGAAGGGAGUGUUGGUGAAAAAUACUGAGGAUACGUGCGUGUACAUUGUUUAUUCGAAAAGGCCGGAGGCUCUUUUGGCGGACGGUCGAACGACAUUUAGGCGAAGUCACUGCUACGACCCUCAUAAGUAUUCUAAUUCGUGAUGCGCUGUCUAUUUUAAUAGAGGUUGUGUUACAAAUUUUAGUUGGAAAAAACAGAUUGGGGCGAGAGUGCGGCCCCAAUCAUUACGUUUCUAACAUCAGUCAUUUAAUUGUGUAAAUAUGGGUUAUGAUGAAUUAUGUUCAGGUCUCUAAAUGAAUUUCAUUUUACACUGAGGUACGUAAUGACGGCCUGCUGCAAGAUAUUGCGUGAUUUGUCUUGUUACGAUUGAGUGCUUCGGCAUAUAGAAUAUCAUCUUCAGACCUAAUGUCGGUAGUAGUUAAUUUUUCGAUUUCUUCUGGCAAAGAAUGCGACAGAAUCACACCAAAUACGUUAUUUAGUGUCCGCCAUGUGAAUGAGAGUGGGAUGUUUGGUUUCUUCUUUCAUUUCGACACACUACAGUUGAAUUCUUGUAGUCUCCUAUGAGGACGGUGGGAAGAGCGACCGUUCUACCCAGAUCAUGCAUUCUAUUCUUCUGUCAGGUUAACACUAAGGGUUUUAUCUAGGUAACUUAUGAAACUAGAUGAUGUUCAAUUUUUCGACAGUUGUGUAAUACGUGCGUGUAUUUAAACUGAGAAGUUUCUUCUGUACAUAAUGAGAAUAUGUGUUUAUGAUGAAGUUCGCAAUAUGGAAGUACCGUUGGAAAGUUCGUUAUCACUUAUCUUUAACUUACUCUCCCGAGUCUCACCUCUUACCUGUAUAUUGAUAUGGAAGAAAUUAUGAGUUAUGAGGUGUGUAUUUUUUUAACAAUUUUAUAUUCAUUUAGUCUAUUCAAAGUUCCUUAUUGUGGCUUGAAAAUAUUUAGGUACGUCUUACAUCAAAUUCCGUUUCUAGUGUAACAGUUUCCCCCAAACAAUUUUCAGUUUUAGCACUUAUAACUAGUGGAAGAAAUUUAUUCGUUAGAUUUUGGCAUUAUGUUUGCACGAUUCUUAGUGCGUUAUCCUCUAAGUGAGUUGUGUGGAAUUUUGCCGCGGUCUUAGUUUCGGACUGAACUUUUGUGUUGUGGUACGAAAUCAUCCCAACUGUGGACACACGCAUGGCUUACAUAUAUAAAUUCGUCACCACCAAAUGAUUAUUUAUUAUUCAUGCGUCUAAUUAUUACUUAAUAUAUUUUUCUUUGUAGUGUCGUUAAGUAUCGGAGUCGUAUUUCCCACUCUUUGCAACCUUAAUGGAGGAGAACAUCGCAAAAAUUUACGUUUUGUGUUAUUUUCCCAUCCUUGAUUUGUUCAUUAAUCUAAUUCAGUAUAAUGAAUGUUUAAUUGACGAGUGUUUGCAGCAUUUGAAAAGCUUUCAUGAAACUUCCAUAAGUUGUGAAUGAAUAUGCAGAAAGGUGACUGCUACAAUCCGUGAAGAAUUAUAGAAACUAUUUUAGACGUAUUGGGUACUUAAAUACAGGAAUACCUAAAUUCAGAUGUAGAAACACGUCCGCUCGCCUCCGUAGCUACAACUGAACUCCGGUAACAAAUAAGGAAAUGAUGUAGAACUCAUCGCCUUGAAAAAAUCGAAUCUGGCAUUUACGAUGUUAAUGGAAGCCUGAAGGUACCAGUGGAAUCAAGAAUUACAUGAAGACUGCGUAGCCAUUUGUGUCAUGUGAUGCAGUUCCUCGUUUCAUAACUUCUUCUUGAUCUGCGCCCCAGCAACAGUGUCAUAUGAAGAAGGGCACAGGUCAGACUUGUAGGACAUCGCUGAGUAUGACGUCACAUUUCGUGAUCAUUUGACAGAAGACAAAAGACCACUUCUCGACACACAACAGAAUGUGACAAUCUUUAUAUAUUUAUGUCAAUAGUACCUGAGACAUUGACGUUGCAGCGCCUAUUCACAUUCACCUGGACGGACGUCCGCAGAAAUUCCUGUCUGCGGUAUUGAAACUGCUGUUGCUGGACGCAGAGGUGAAUGACCAGCUGCUAAGUUGCACAUUCUGAUGAUGGGCCAAGGAUUUGGUAGGAAAAGAACUGAUUACCAGCGUCUUAGGUAUUUGCAAUAUAUCUAUUUUAAUUUUGAAAUAUGGAGGUGAUUUCUAAAUGUCGGUUGUUCACCACAGACUGGGGCGGGGGUGGGGCCCCAGUCACUACUAAUCGAUUUUCACUUUUCAGUUGUGUGAAGUCGAAGAAAGUUAGAUUUUCACGUCUACGCGCGCUGCGCCCUCUUUAUUUCUACAUUCAGGAGAGUGAUUACCUAACAUUAGGACACACACAACUAACUAACUAACUAACCAACUUAAUAACCAACUAACUAACCAACUAACUAACCAACUAACUAACCAAUUACCUAACCAACUAACCAA